GCAAGUCGAGCGGAAACGAUCCUAGCUUGCUCUCUAGGCGUCGAGUGGCGGACGGGUGAGUAAUGCAUAGGAAUCUGCCCAGUAGCGGGGGACAACUUGGGGAAACUCAAGCUAAUACCGCAUACGCCCUACGGGGGAAAGCGGGGGACCUUCGGGCCUCGCACUAUUGGAUGAGCCUAUGUCUGAUUAGCUUGUUGGUGGGGUAAUGGCCUACCAAGGCAACGAUCAGUAGCUGGUCUGAGAGGACGAUC
rnacentral:rRNA from 1 species